rnacentral:rRNA from 1 species
GACGAACGCUGGCGGCGUGCUUAACACAUGCAAGUCGAACGGAAAGGCCCUGCUUUUGUGGGGUGCUCGAGUGGCGAACGGGUGAGUAACACGUGAGUAACCUGCCCUUGACUUUGGGAUAACUUCAGGAAACUGGGGCUAAUACCGGAUAUGAUCUCCUGCUGCAUGGUGGGGGUUGGAAAGUUUCGGCGGUUGGGGAUGGACUCGCGGCUUAUCAGCUUGUUGGUGGGGUAGUGGCUUACCAAGGCUUUGACGGGUAGCCGGCCUGAGAGGGUGACCGGCAACAUUGGGACUGAGAUACGGCACAGAAUCCUACGGGAGGCAGCAGUGGGGAAUAUUGCACAAUGGGCGGAAGCCUGAUGCAGCAACGCCGCGUGCGGGAUGACGGCCUUCGGGUUGUAAACCGCUUUCGCCUGUGACGAAGAGUGAGUGACGGUAAUGGGUAAAGAAGCACCGGCUAACUACGUG